rfam:Lucilia cuprina strain LS Scaffold567, whole genome shotgun sequence.
GUGGGCUAUGGCGAUGUAGCACCUAAAACAUAUCCUGGCAUGUUUGUGGGAGCUUUAUGUGCGUUGGCUGGUGUCUUAACAAUUGCACUUCCGGUUCCUGUAAUUGUUAGCAAC